CCAGCCACACUGGAACUGAGACACGGUCCAGACUCCUACGGGAGGCAGCAGUGGGGAAUAUUGCACAAUGGGCGCAAGCCUGAUGCAGCCAUGCCGCGUGUAUGAAGAAGGCCUUCGGGUUGUAAAGUACUUUCAGCGGGGAGGAAGGGAGUAAAGUUAAUACCUUUGCUCAUUGACGUUACCCGCAGAAGAAGCACCGGCUAACUCCGUGCCAGCAGCCGCGGUAAUACGGAGGGUGCAAGCGUUAAUCGGAAUUACUGGGCGUAAAGCGCACGCAGGCGGUUUGUUAAGUCAGAUGUGAAAUCCCCGGGCUCAACCUGGGAACUGCAUCUGAUACUGGCAAGCUUGAGUCUCGUAGAGGGGGGUAGAAUUCCAGGUGUAGCGGUGAAAUGCGUAGAGAUCUGGAGGAAUACCGGUGGCGAAGGCGGCCCCCUGGACGAAGACUGACGCUCAGGUGCGAAAGCGUGGGGAGCAAACAGGAUUAGAUACCCUGGUAGUCCACGCCGUAAACGAUGUCGACUUGGAGGUUGUGCCCUUGAGGCGUGGCUUCCGGAGCUAACGCGUUAAGUCGACCGCCUGGGGAGUACGGCCGCAAGGUUAAAACUCAAAUGAAUUGACGGGGGCCCGCACAAGCGGUGGAGCAUGUGGUUUAAUUCGAUGCAACGCGAAGAACCUUACCUGGUCUUGACAUCCACGGAAGUUUUCAGAGAUGAGAAUGUGCCUUCGGGAACCGUGAGACAGGUGCUGCAUGGCUGUCGUCAGCUCGUGUUGUGAAAUGUUGGGUUAAGUCCCGCAACGAGCGCAACCCUUAUCCUUUGUUGCCAGCGGUCCGGCCGGGAACUCAAAGGAGACUGCCAGUGAUAAACUGGAGGAAGGUGGGGAUGACGACAAGUCAUCAUGGCCCUUACGACCAGGGCUACACACGUGCUACAAUGGCGCAUACAAAGAGAAGCGACCUCGCGAGAACAAGCGGACCUCAUAAAGUGCGUCGUAGUCCGGAUUGGAGUCUGCAACUCGACUCCAUGAAGUCGGAAUCGCUAGUAAUCGUGGAUCAGAAUGCCACGGUGAAUACGUUCCCGGGCCUUGUACUCACCGCCCGUCACACCAUGGGAGUGGGUUGCAAAAGAAGUAGGUAGCUUAACCUUCGGGAGGGCGCUUACCACUUUGUGAUUCAUGACUGGGGUGAAGUCGGAACAAGGUAACCGUAGGGGAACCUGCGGUUG
rnacentral:rRNA from 1 species